rnacentral:rRNA from 1 species
CCUACGGGGGGCAGCAGUGAGGAAUAUUGGUCAAUGGACGAGAGCCUGAACCAGCCAAGUAGCGUGAAGGAUGACGGCCCUACGGGUUGUAAACUUCUUUUAUAGGGGAAUAAAAUGUUCCACGUGUGGGAUUUUGUAUGUACCAUAUGAAUAAGGAUCGGUUAAAUCCGUGCCAGCAGCCGCGGUAAUACGGAGGAUCCGAGCGUUAUCCGGAUUUAUUGGGUUAAAAGGGUGCGUAGGCGGUCCGUAAAGUCAGCGGGAAAAGCCCGGGGCUCAACCCCGGCGAGCCGUUGAAAAUGUCGUACUCGAGACGGCGAGAAGUACGCGGAAUGCGCGGUGUAGCGGUGAAAUGCAUAGAUAUCGCGCAGAACUCCGAUUGCGAAGGCAGCGUACCGGCGCCGGACUGACGCUGAGGCACGAAAGCGUGGGUAUCGAACAGGAUUAGAUACCCUUGUAGUC